UACAGAGGUCCCGAGCGUUGUUCGGAUUCACUGGGCGUAAAGGGUGCGUAGGUGGUGAGGUAAGUCGGAUGUGAAAUCUCCAGGCUCAACCUGGAAACUGCAUUGGAAACUACCUUGCUGGAGGAUUUGAGGGGGGAUUGGAAUACUUGGUGUAGCAGUGAAAUGCGUAGAUAUCAGGAGGAACACCGAUGGCGAAGGCAGCUCGCUGGGGACGGUACUGGACGCUGAGACGCGAAAGCGUGGGGAGCAAACAGG
rnacentral:rRNA from 1 species